UACAGAGGCCUCGAGCGUUAGGCGGAAUCACUGGGCUUAAAGCGUGUGUAGGUGGAUGCCUAAGUACCUUGUGAAAUCCCAUGGCUUAACCAUGGAAUUGCUUGGUAUACUGGGUGUCUUGAGCCACUCAGGGGCGAGCGGGAACAAACGGUGGAGCGGUGAAAUGCGUAGAUAUCGUUUGGAACGCCAAUGGUGAAAACAGCUCGCUGGGGGUGCGCUGACACUGAG
rnacentral:rRNA from 1 species